ensembl:lncRNA
GUGGAUUUCACUAAUGCUUUACAUUAAAAACACCCAAACUACAAUGUGCACACUCAGCUGGACUAAGAUGAAGGUCUCAGGUGCUCACGUCUGGCUUCUCUUAUUGUUCCUGUUCCAAAGUGACAGAAACCAGGUUUCAGGCCAGUGUUCAGUACCCACAGCACUCUGCUGUCCUGGAGUGAAUAGCCAAUGCAACCGUGGUGGGUGUUUUUGUGAUGAGUUCUGCGUCACAAGCGGGGACUGCUGUGCUGACUACAAUCAGAUAUGCAUUCAGCCACAUUCGCCACCAUCCUUUAUAUCACCUUCAUCAACCACACUAUCAUAUUCACCGUUCUCAUCAACAUCCUUAUCAACCUCAAUAUCACCAACCUCACAACCUUUAUCUUCCUCAACAUCAGCCUCACCACCAUCUUCAUCCUCCCUACCUACAACCAACCAAUCACCAACAUCAUCACCAAUCUCACCACCAACUUCAUCCUCCUCACCUACAACCAACCAAUCACCAACAUCAUCACCAACCUCACAAACAUCUUCAUCAGUCUCACCAACAACCAACCAAUCAUCAUCACCACCACCAACCUCUGCAUCUUCAUCAACAUCCCAGCAGAGAAAAAACAUCAGUGCAAUCACAGUCUUCCACAUGCGUGUUCGCUCAGGAGCCAAUGAGGAAGCAAUGCUGAAGGCUGUGCAGGAUUUCAUUCUCCACCUCCAGGGCUUGAUGAGGAGACAGCAGUGUGAAGACUGCAGUCUACGAGUGCUAAACAUCAGCAAGAAACAUCGCUGAUUACAUCAAGUCAAAUAUAUUAGAAUUAUUGAGAAUCCACAGUUUUUCACUAAUUAAUCAUUAUUACCUGGUCUUCUUCCACGUGUUUGUUUAAUACUCCUGGUGUGGAAAUGGUGUCACUAGAUGGCACUAGAGGACCGAACCUGUAAUGGAAAUCAUAGAGGAUUGUCCAAUCACUGUCUAACCUUAAUUUUAAUUUUAAUAUAGAGCUGCUAUAAAUGUCGAUCAAUUUAGUAUAUUCUUAUUUAAA